rnacentral:rRNA from 1 species
AACGCGUGGGCAACCUGCCUCAUACAGGGGGAUAACAGUUAGAAAUGACUGCUAAUACCGCAUAAGCGCACAGGACCGCAUGGUGUAGUGUGAAAAACUCCGGUGGUAUGAGAUGGACCCGCGUCUGAUUAGGUAGUUGGUGGGGUAAAGGCCUACCAAGCCGACGAUCAGUAGCCGACCUGAGAGGGUGACCGGCCACAUUGGGACUGAGACACGGCCCAAACUCCUACGGGAGGCAGCAGUGGGGAAUAUUGCACAAUGGGGGAAACCCUGAUGCAGCGACGCCGCGUGAAGGAAGAAGUAUUUCGGUAUGUAAACUUCUAUCAGCAGGGAAGAAGAUGACGGUACCUGAGUAAGAAGCACCGGCUAAAUACGUGCCAGCAGCCGCGGUAAUACGUAUGGUGCAAGCGUUAUCCGGAUUUACUGGGUGUAAAGGGAGCGUAGACGGAUAGGCAAGUCUGGAGUGAAAACCCAGGGCUCAACCCUGGGACUGCCUUUGGAAACUGCAGAUCUGGAGUGCCGGAGAGGUAAGCGGAAUUCCUAGUGUAGCGGUGAAAUGCGUAGAUAUUAGGAGGAACACCAGUGGCGAAGGCGGCU